UACGUAGGGUGCGAGCGUUAAUCGGAAUUACUGGGCGUAAAGUGUGCGCAGGCGGCAGAGCAAGUCGAGUGUGAAAGCCCCGGGCUUAACUUGGGAAUUGCGCUCGAAACUACUUUGCUGGAGUGUGGCAGAGGAAGGUGGAAUUCCACGUGUAGCGGUGAAAUGCGCAGAUAUCAGGAAGAACACCCGUGGCGAAGGCGGCUCUCUGGGACGGUACUGACGCUGAGGCACGAAGGCCAGGGGAGCAAACAGG
rnacentral:rRNA from 1 species